rnacentral:rRNA from 1 species
CGUAGGCGCGAGCGUUGUCCGGAAUUAUUGGGCGUAAAGAGCUUGUAGGCGGUUUGUCGCGUCUGCUGUGAAAGGCCGGGCUUAACCCGUGUAUUGCAGUGGGUACGGGCAGACUAGAGUGCAGUAGGGAGACUGGAAUUCCUGGUGUAGCGGUGGAAUGCGCAGAUAUCAGGAGGAACACCGAUGGCGAAGGCAGGUCUCUGGGGCUGUAACUGACGCUGAGAAGCGAAAGCAGUGGGAGCGAACAGGAUU